UCUCCGUCUCACUCCCCGAUUCAUCGCCCCUCCCCCGUCGGCAUCCUUCUCUCCCGUGCUGCCGAGUACGCUACUGCGGCCGCCGCCGUCCCCUCUCCGCCUCCCCCAUCCCCGGCGAAGACCCCCGCCGGCCCGUCCGGCAAGAUCACGGACGAGUUCACCGGAGCCGGCGCGAUCGGGAGCGUCUGCCAGGUGAUCGGUGCCGUUGUCGACGUGCGGUUCAAUGACGGUCUGCCGCCG
rnacentral:misc_RNA from 1 species